rnacentral:lncRNA from 1 species
GUUAAGGUUAGUGUCAUGGUUAGGGUUAGGGUUUGUGUUAGGUUUAAGUUUAGGUUUCGGAGUUGUGAUUGGUUUAGGUUUAGGUUUAGGGUUAGGGUUAUGAAUAAGUUUAAGUUUAGAUUUAGAUUUAGAGUUAGAGGUAGGUUUAGGGUUAGGUUUUGGUUUAGGGUUAGUGAUAAUGUUAGGAUUGGGGUUAGGGUUUGUGUUAGGAUUCAGGUUAGGGUUAGUUUUAGUGUUAGUGUUAGAGUUAAGUUUAGGGUUAGCGUUAGGUAAGAGUUAGGGUUAGGGUGAGGUUACGUUUAGGGUUAUGGUUAGGGUUAGUGUUAGGGUUAGUGUUAUGUUUAUAUUAGGGUUAGAAUUAGUGUUAGGAUUGAGGUUACAUUUGGGAUUAGGGUUUGUGUUAGGGUUUCUUUUAGGGUUAGGGUUAGGGUUACUGUUAGGGUUAGUGUUAGGGUUAGAAUUAGUGAUAGGUUUAGUGUUAGGUUUAAGGUUAGUGUUAGGGUUAGGGUUAGGCUUAGGGUUAUGGGUAGUUUAGGGUUAGGGUUAGGGUAAGGGUUUGUGUUAGGAUUAGAUUUAGGGUUAGGUUUAGAAUCAAUGUUAGAGUUUGGGUUAGGUUUAAGGUUAAGGUAAUUUUUAGUGUUAGGGUUAGAAUUAGUGAUAGGGAUAGGCUAAGGGGUAAAUUAUGGUUAGAGUUAGGGUUAGGGUUAAGUUAGGGUUAGAGUUAAGUUAGGGUUAGGGUUAGCGUUUGUGUUAGGUUUCAGGUUAGUGUUAUGGUUGUGUUUAGGGUUACAUUUGGGUUAAGGUUGGGGUUAGGUUAGGGUUAGGUUUAUGGUUAUGAUUAGUGUUUGUGUUAGGUUUAGGGUUAGUGUUAUGAUUAUGGUUAUGGUUAGGGUUAGGGUUAGUGUUAGGGAUAGAGUAAGGGUUAGGAUUAGGGUUUGUGUUAUCAUUAGGGUUCGGUUUAGGUUUAAGUUUAUGGUUAGGUUUAGGAUUAGAAUUAGUGUUACAGUUACAGUUAGUAUAAGUGUUAGGGUUACAGUUAGGGUUAGUGUUAUGUUUUGUGUUAGAGUUAGGGUGAGUGUUAGUGUGAGGGAUAGGGUUAGAGUUAUUGUUAGGAAUAGGUUUGGGGUUCAGGUUAAAGUUAUUGUUAGGGUUAGGGUUAGGGUUAGUAUUAGAGAAAGUGUUAGUGUUAGGGUUUAGUUUAGGGUUAGUGUUAGGGUUGGUUUUAGGUUAGGUUUAGGGUUAUAGUUAGGGAUAGGGUUAGUGUUAGAGUUAGGGUUAGGAUUAGUGUUUGGGUUGGGUUAGGAUUAGUGUGAGGGUAAGUGUUCGGUUAAGGGUUAGGGUCACAGUUAGAGUUAGUUUUAUGGUUAGUGUUAGGGUUAGAUUUAUGUUUAGUAUUAGGGUUAUGAUUAGUGUUAGGGUAAGGUUUAGGGUUUGUGUUUGUUUUAGGGUUCGGGUUUCGGUUAGGUUUAAAGUUACUAUUAGGAUUCAGGUUAGGGUUAGUUUUAGGGUAGGGUAAGGUUAGGGUAUGGGUUAGGGUUAGCGUUUGUUUUAAGUUUAGAUUUAGGUUUAGGGUUAGGGUUAGGGUUAAGGUUACUUUUCGGGUUAGGUUAAGUUAGUGUUAGGUUAGGAU